CCUACGGGAGGCAGCAGUGAGGAAUAUUGGUCAAUGGGCGCGAGCCUGAACCAGCCAAGUCGCGUGAGGGAAGACGGCCCUAUGGAUUUUAAACCUCUUUUGUCGGGGAGCAAAAGACGCCACGCGUGGCGUUCCGAGUGUACCCGAAGAAAAAGCAUCGGCUAACUCCGUGCCAGCAGCCGCGGUAAUACGGGGGAUGCGAGCGUUAUCCGGAUUUGUGGGGUUUAAAGGGAGCGCAGGCGGAAGAUUAAGUCAGCGGUAAAAUUGAGAGGCUCAACCUCAUCGAGCCGUUGAAACUGGUUAUCUUGAGUGAGUGAGAGGUAUGCGGAAUGCGUGGUGUAGCGGUGAAAUGCAUAGAUAUCACGAAGAACUCCGAUUGCGAAGGCAGCAUACCGGAG
rnacentral:rRNA from 1 species